AUCUGAUACGGAUGUAAAUCAAACAUAGCUGGAAUAAAAUCCUUCUAUUGGCGGUUGCCUAAAUAAAACAGAUAUAGAGGCAUCAAUGCUUUCACUCGUUGACAAGCAUAGAAUCGCGAACCAGUGUCGAGAGGAAAUAUAAGAUAUAUAUUUUAUAGCAUUUGUACCGAGUUUGUGGUGUGUGAUUUUUAAUUCACUGUGUCAGUAACGAAAUUCAUUGUACAUUAUUGCUUUCUUGUUAAGUAAUGAAUGAUAUAUAUUUAUGUAUAGAUCAGAGUAAUUAUUGCCUUGAUUUUAUUACUUGGAAAAAAUAAAUUGGAAUAAAGCAACAUAUUUUCGUAUUGAAAACAGAGUUUGUUUCCCUUAGAAGCAGACGUAAAAAUAACACUGUUCGACCAGAAGCAUACCUAAUGAAAGUGUAACUUGAACAGAUUGUAUUUUCUGAAGAAGCAGACAUGAAAAUAACACAGUUCGACCAGAAGCAUACCUAAUGAAUAUAUAACUGGAACAGGUG